AAAUCUCAUAAAUAAAAACUUUUUUGUUUAAAUUUGUGGACUUGGAUUUGCGAUUUUAUAAAUUGCUGAUCUAAAAUGAAUUUCAUGAAGCUUAUAUAUUGCUUUGUUCCUUUGCUUAAUAGUUUUGCUUUGUCAAAUCUUUUGCAAUUGUUUACAAAUGCGCAAAAAGUGAAUUGAUUUUUUACGAAUCUAUAUCUCAUU
rnacentral:misc_RNA from 1 species